rnacentral:rRNA from 1 species
GUACCGUGAGGGAAAGGCGAAAAGAACCCCGGCGAGGGGAGUGAAAAAGAACCUGAAACCGUGUACGUACAAGCAGUGGGAGCACCCUUCGGGGUGUGACUGCGUACCUUUUGUAUAAUGGGUCAGCGACUUAUAUUCUGUAGCAAGGUUAACCGAAUAGGGGAGCCGGAGGGAAACCGAGUCUUAAUUGGGCGUUAAGUUGCAGGGUAUAGACCCGAAACCCGGUGAUCUAGCCAUGGGCAGGUUGAAGGUUGGGUAACACUAACUGGAGGACCGAACCGACUAAUGUUGAAAAAUUAGCGGAUGACCUGUGGCUGGGGGUGAAAGGCCAAUCAAACCGGGAGAUAGCUGGUUCUCCCCGAAAGCUAUUUAGGUAGCGCCUCGUGAAUUCAUCUCCGGGGGUAGAGCACUGUUUCGGCUAGGGGGCCAUCCCGGCUUACCAACCCGAUGCAAACUGCGAAUACCGGAGAAUGUUAUCACGGGAGACACACGGCGGGUGCUAACGUCCGUCGUGAAGAGGGAAACAACCCAGACCGCCAGCUAAGGUCCCAAAGUCAUGGUUAAGUGGGAAACGAUGUGGGAAGGCCCAGACAGCCAGGAUGUUGGCUUAGAAGCAGCCAUCAUUUAAAGAAAGCGUAAUAGCUCACUGGUCGAGUCGGCCUGCGCGGAAGAUGUAACGGGGCUAAACCAUG